ACUGACCAGGUCACCUGCAGCGCGGGCUGACGGCGGGCGACUGAAGGAGGGAGCAAGUCUCCCACCCCCAGCAGCCGGCGGCCGCUUCCGAAGUCUGCCCCCUUCCACUGCGGAGCGGCGCCCCGCGGGCCCCCAGCCAGCGCGCCCGAGGCGCCCCCGCCCCGUGUCGCUCGCGCUGCGUUAUUGGGAGAAGGCGGUUCCUGAGCACCAGCACGGGCCUCGGUGACACCGGAGGUCGCUGGGGUCUUCCCCUUCCCCUUAAGACUCUGGGUCUGUCUGUGGGAAGAGCUUUCAUUCCCCACCCCACUCUAUGCCGACCCUCUCCGGGGGAGGCUCCACUGGCACUGUAGACACCACGUGCUGGGUAAAAAGGCCUGGUCCCAGCGCUUCCCUGUCACUGACUGCUAACCACAAGGCGCCGUGGCACUCAGGAAAUGCGGCAGGGGGGCUGGAGAACUAUCAGGAAGGGGUGUGGGCAGAGAAGAGGCUUCCACCCUGUCUUGGAACACGGACACAGUCCAUGGCAUUCAAAAGAGGUGGGAGGCUCCUCUGUGCACGUGCCUUCCGCCCCCGGGACAGGUGGAGGAGGGGAUUUGACUGGUCCUCACCCUCUGCAUUUAUAGUCUGGGCACACCUUGGGCAGUGCCGCAGGAGGGCGCUGUGGAGUACAGGCACAUGCAGAAGGUGUGGCGAGGGCUUCCUGGUGGAGCUGGCAGUAGGGCAGGGACCUUGAAAAGGAAUGAUUUGAACAGAUCGGAAAAGACAUUCCAGACAGAAACAAAUGCCUGAAACCCAAACCGAGAAGCAGGAAAGAGCAGACUGCGUUCUCGGAAUGGCAGGGAGUCCAGUUUGACUGGAAGACCUGAGGCUCAGAGGCGCAUCACGGCCCAGAUGCAGACCACAGAGGCAGGCACAGUGGCCCAGGAGGACCGAGGACCUGGAGUCACGGGGUUCCGCCCGCUGCCCCUGGGGAACCGAGUCAUGCCAGUUCCCAGACAGAUGAAUUCCUUCCAAGAAUUCCACAGUCCUGCUCAAUCCUAGCCGCCAAGCCUCCUGGCCUUGGAUGGCUGCUGUCUAAUGCAGAUCCUCUUUCAUCCAGAUUUCAAAUAUUUUUCCUAUUCUGUCCUUUGAUCACUAACGUUUAUGUUUAUCUACAUCAGCAUCCCUCAAUCCUGACGGCACUCUGAAAUUAUCUAGGGGUGCUUUAAAAAAGAAAAAUGUUGAUGCAUGGCCCUCCUCCAGGAAAUCUGAUUUUAUUGGUCUGGGGUGGGGCCCAGGCAUCAGCAGACUUUUAAUGAGCAGUUAGAGAGGAGAACCACUGAUGGAGAUGGUCACCAGGGAGUGUCCAGGUCAGACCGCCACAGAAGAGUGCAGCCUCCUGGCCUUCAGACCCAACUGGGACAAACCCUGAGAACAGCCUUGGCAGACCUCCAGGGGCAGCUGGACUCCCUGAGGCUGGAUGUUGCAGCCUCUCCCAGGCAUCCACUCUGCAGCUGAGGCCAAAGUUUCCAACGGGAAGGGAGGGAGAGUCUCCGAGUCUGGGCCUUGCCACUCCUCACUCAGCAUCUGACCAUCCCCACCUCCUGGAUCUACAGGGUUCAUAGAGGAGGACCCAGAAGAGGGAAAGUCAGGCUGAGGAACUUGGCCUCCCUGCUGCAAGGGAAAUGACAUCGGUUACCAAGGAGGUGACCAGCUAUCCUUUUCCAAGACUGAAAAGCAGAAAUACGGCCCUGAGGCUAGAGGGUCUAAGAGAACAAUAGGAAGAAUUUCCUGACAAAGGACAAUGUUGCCUAAAGGACUCAGGAAGCUCUGUGAAAACAGGAGACUCCCGAGCAGAGCACCAGACCCUUCUCCACCAGGCAGUGUUUUUCCCAUAUGACAGGUGAGAAAACUGAGGCUGAGAGACAUGUAAUAACUUGCUGAAGCAGCAACCAGCACACCAUAUAGCUGAAAUCUGUAGAUCAGCAGUUAAAAGUGGUAGGGCAAGUCCUCUCUGACUUUCAGCGCUAAGAGCCUAGGAUUCUGUGUUUUUCUGCUUAAGCCUGGGAAUCAGAGUCCUACAAAAGCCGCGCCUAAUCCUGGGGGUGUGGGCUUUAAACCCAGAGAGAAAGCAUGUUAUUGGAAUACUCCUGCACUUUUCUCCCUUUGAAUCCCACCACGGAAAGAAAAUUCUGUGACGUGUACCCAGUAUUUAUUGGAGGGUAUUUCCUAGCAAGAAAAUGAGGGCGAUUGACCAGGCACGGUGGCUCACGCCUGUAAUCCCAGCACUUUGGGAGGUCAAGGUGAGUGGAUCACAUGAGGUCAGGAGUUCGAGACCAGCCUGACCAACAUGGAGAAACCCCGUCUCUACUAAAAAUACAAAAUUAGCCGGGCGUGGGGUGGCGCAUGCCUGUAAUUCCAGCUACUCCUGAGGCUGUGGCAGCAGAAUCGCUUGAACCCGGGAGACAGAGGUUGCAGUGAGUUGAGAUCAAGCCAUCGCACUCCAGCCUGGGCAACAGAGUGAGACUCUGUCAAAAAAGAAAGUGUGGUACAUCUAUACUAAUGGAGUACUAUUUAGCCGUC
rnacentral:lncRNA from 1 species